rnacentral:rRNA from 1 species
ACGCUCGACACCUACGGGAGGCGGCAGUGGGGAAUAUUGCACAAUGGGGGAAACCCUGAUGCAGCGACGCCGCGUGGAGGAAGAAGGUCUUCGGAUUGUAAACUCCUGUUGUUGGGGAAAAAGAGGAUGGUACCCAACAAGGAAGUGACGGCUAACUACGUGCCAGGAGCCGCGGUAAUCUGAGCGGGCUGGCAAGGC